rnacentral:rRNA from 1 species
AGCAUAUCAAUAAGCGGAGGAAAAGAAACCAACAGGGAUUGCCCUAGUAACGGCGAGUGAAGCGGCAACAGCUCAAAUUUGAAAUCUGGCGUAAGCCCGAGUUGUAAUUUGUAGAGGAUGCUUCUGGGUAGCGGCCGGUCUAAGUUCCUUGGAACAGGACGUCAUAGAGGGUGAGAAUCCCGUAUGUGACUGGCUUGCACCCUCCACGUAGCUCCUUCGACGAGUCGAGUUGUUUGGGAAUGCAGCUCUAAAUGGGAGGUAAAUUUCUUCUAAAGCUAAAUACCGGCCAGAGACCGAUAGCGCACAAGUAGAGUGAUCGAAAGAUGAAAAGCACUUUGGAAAGAGAGUUAAAAAGCACGUGAAAUUGUUGAAAGGGAAGCGCCCGCAACCAGACUUUGCGGCGGUGUUCGGCCGGUCUUCUGACCGGUUUACUCGCCGCCGUGAGGCCAUCAUCGUCUGGGACCGCUGGAUAAGACCUGAGGAAUGUAGCUCCCUUCGGGGUGUGUUAUAGCCUCUGGUGAUGCAGCGCGUCUCGGGCGAGGUCCGCGCUUCGGCAAGGAUGAUGGCGUAAUGGUUGUCGGCGGCCCGUCUUGAAACACGGACCAAGGAGUCUAACAUCUAUGCGAGUGUUCGGGUGUCAAACCCCUACGCGUAAUGAAAGUGAACGGAGGUGGGAACUUUUUGUGCACCAUCGACCGAUCCUGAUGUCCUCGGAUGGAUUUGAGUAAGAGCAUAGCUGUUGGGACCCGAAAGAUGGUGAACUAUGCCUGAAUAGGGUGAAGCCAGAGGAAACUCUGGUGGAGGCUCGCAGCGGUUCUGACGUGCAAAUCGAUCGUCAAAUUUGGGUAUAGGGGCGAAAGACUAAUCGAACCAUCUAGUAGCUGGUUCCUGCCGA